rnacentral:rRNA from 1 species
GAUGAACGCUGGCGGCGUGCCUAAUACAUGCAAGUCGAGCGAACAGACGAGGAGCUUGCUCCUCUGACGUUAGCGGCGGACGGGUGAGUAACACGUGGAUAACCUACCUAUAAGACUGGGAUAACUUCGGGAAACCGGAGCUAAUACCGGAUAACAUGUUGAACCGCAUGGUUCAACAGUGAAAGCCGGUUUUGCUGUCACUUAUAGAUGGAUCCGCGUCGCAUUAGCUAGUUGGUAAGGUAACGGCUUACCAAGGCAACGAUGCGUAGCCGACCUGAGAGGGUGAUCGGCCACACUGGAACUGAGACACGGUCCAGACUCCUACGGGAGGCAGCAGUAGGGAAUCUUCCGCAAUGGGCGAAAGCCUGACGGAGCAACGCCGCGUGAGUGAAGAAGGUCUUCGGAUCGUAAAACUCUGUUAUUAGGGAAGAACAAAUGUGUAAGUAACUAUGCACGUCUUGACGGUACCUAAUCAGAAAGCCACGGCUAACUACGUG